UUUCACCUCUAUCUCCGUAUUUAAUCAAUAGGACCACUGUCACUCGUUGGCGACUUGACCAGGCUGGUGCUGGAGAAGAGGGGAGUGAAAAAAGAGGAAUUCAUGUCAAAAACAGAGAGGAGAGGAGAGGAGAGGAGAGGAGGUGAAUAAACCUAAGCAAAGUUAUUCAGAUCAGAAAAAAAAUUCUCUGAACUGGUUCGACCAUUUUCAGUCCAACCGGCCGGUUUUCUCUGAUUGAAGACGGUCUAACCUUCCAGCGGUUUUAUGUGACGAAUCAGACGGAAAGAACUAGUUCGUGGCCGAUCCGGUUUUAAAAUUCCCCACCUCAAUAUUUUUGAUCUUUCCCUCUCUUUCUUCUCAAUCUGUGUUCUACUUCACAAUCCCCUUUUUCAAGCUCUAUUCUAUUUCUCCGUUCUUGUUUAUCAUUCUCUAAACCUGCUCCACCUCAUUGUACUCCACAUGUAAAUUAAUUCUGAGUUGAAGGGGGUUGUGGUGAAGAGAAGGAUGAAGAAACAGGGGCUGAUGCUCAGCUGGAGGUGUUCAUACAACGAUUCCUAAAUAGCAGAAAAAUGAGGAUUUGAAACACCGAUUUGACCGGGCCUGGUUUAUCCGGGCUAAAACAGCUCAAUAGCUUGACAACAAGCGGGUCCUGCCCAGACCGAUCGGUUUCUCCUGAAAAUUUACAUGAGUAAUGGUAUAUUUUUUUGAAGCUAGCAGGCUAUCAAGUUCCUUACUCAUCAGCACCUUCCUCCUCAUUUUUGUUGAAGGUUGAGCAAACCUGUAGAAGAAUAAAUAGGGGUAAACGCAAGAUGGGAGAUAAUGACCGAGAUGAGCUCGCACUUCUGUUCUGUGCAGACAAAUGCAACUACUAUUAGAUGAAAGAGUUGCAGAGAAAGGCACUAGAGAGGAACAAGAGAGACGCAAUAGAGAAUUAGUACCAGAUAUGAAAUGUUUAAUCAUGGUAAUAUGGUUACCGUCCCUGCAGGUGCUUGUAUUGAUGCUAACAACUUAGAGUUAAAAAUACCUCUGAUCAGCUGAGUUUAGCAAAACCCUUUCGCCGGAAGAGCCACAGAGGAUGCAAACCGCCACCUCACAAUAUUCAUGGGAAUAACCAACACUCUUAUGCUAAAUGGCGUCGACGAGGAAGCAAUAAAGGUAAGACUUUUUUUCCUUUUCCUUAAUUGAUUUGACAAAAGAGGUAUGAAUGUUGCCAGCAGAUAAAACUUCCACUUGGAAGGAUAUAAUGGCGCUCUUCCUCGACAAAUACUAUCCGCUAAGCACUAUCUUAAAGCUAAAGAGUGAGAUUUUUCAAUUCAUGCAAGGACACGAUGAGCCUCUUAGUGAAGUUCUCGCACGCUUUAAAGCUUACUUUCGAAAAUGUCCCAAUCAUGGUUUCGAAUUAGACUAUAAGGUGUGGAUCCUCUAUAAUGGAUUUACUGAAAAAAUUGUUGCUAUGUUGGAUUCAGACGAGAACAGAGGACUAAGGAAGAGUGGAGUAGGUGCCAUGGAGGUCAUAGACGCAAAUAGCAGAUGAUGGUCAAAAGAGAGACACAACUUGACGAGGGUGGCAGCCGUGGAUGAAGAGGAUAACAUGUCCUUCGCCAAAGAAUUAGCAUCCUUGAGAGUUAGGGUCGACAAAAGGGAUGGACCAAAGAACGAAGAAACCAUUCAACCUAUAUCAAUUAUCGCCCUUCAUCAAAAUGAUACCCCUCCUCUUGAGGACGUUAACUAUGUCCAAAAUGGGAGUGGUCCCAAUAGGCCUUAUCUUAACAAUUAUCACCCUAGUUAGGGGGCGGUGGUUAAAAUAAUUAUAAUGGGAAUCGUCCACAUCCAAAUAUCUCUCAUAUUCUAACAAUAACUUUCUCCAACUGCCUGCAUGAUUUAAUGUGAGAAAAUGGGGAGUAGUGGAUCCACUAAAAAAGGAAGAAAAGUAAGAGCAAACCAUCAAAAAGAUUUUGGAAGUGUUAGGAGAAGAUAGAAAAGUCAACAAAAUCAAAAUCGGUGUCGUUGAAGCAAGAUUGAACAACCUCGAGGCUGGGUUGAAUACCAUUGCCUCCACCUUCUUGAUCAUCAAAACUCAAAUGGAUCAAGUUCAAAAGAAGGCAGAGGAGAAGAAAGCUAAAAUUGUUGCACGGAUCGCCGAAAUCAAUAAAAAAAUGGGUUACCAAAAGCCGCUGGAUGAACCAGCACCAAGGCAUGAAGAUCGAGGACUGUGGGCAUCCCAACGGGCCGCUGGACUCAACACAGCGGGCCGCUGAGAAGACAGAAGCAAUGCCUUCAAAUUAGCCUGUGCAACACAAUGCGAUACUUUUGCCCUUCCAACCUAAGAUGAAGUUCAAGCUUGAGAAGUAGUUUAAGCAAUUUCUUAAUAUGUUUUGUAAGGUUCAUAUUAACCGUUCCUCUUAUUGGUGCAUUACAGGAAAUUCCUAGGUAUGCGAAGCUAUUGAGGGAAGUAGUGAUGAAGAAGUAAAAACUCAAGUAAACCGACCUUAAGUUGCCAGUACACAGCAGUGAGAUGAUCCAAAAGCAAAGGGCCAUGAAGCAAACUGAUCCAGACCAAUUCAUCAUUCUUUGCUCCAUUGAAGAAGGCAAAGUAGACAAAGCUCUCUGUGACCGGGAGCUAGCCUCAACAUUAUGCCUAUGGAGUAGUACGAAAAGCCUAACUUUGGGCCACUCAAAUCCACAAACGUUUGCUUAAAGAUGGCCGACAACACUACAACAAAAGUUGUGGGGUAAUUGAGAGUGUAUUGGUAAAAGUAGAUGACUUCAUAUUUCUUGCAGAUUUAUGUGUUGGAAGUUGUCCUUUUUUUUAUUUUGUUCUUUUUUUCUUUUAAAUCGUUUUUAUAUUUUUUUUGUUAGAACUAUAAGAAAACAUAAUAUAAACUAAUUGUUUUAAUUUCUAAAAACGAAAUAUUUAAUUAGAAAAUCUAAGCAUUUAUUUUUUA